GCUGGUGACCAUAGUGGAGAGGCAAUACCCGUUCCCAUUCCGAACACGGAAGUCAAGCUCUCUUACGUCGAUGAUACUGCUACCGCGGGAAAGUAGAAAGUUGCCAGCU
rnacentral:rRNA from 1 species